UGGAUCCAGACUUUGAUCCUGGCUCAGGAUGAGCGCUAGCUACAGGCUUAACACAUGCAAGUCGGGGGGAAACGACAUCGAAAGCUUGCUUUUGAUGGGCGUCGACCGGCGCACGGGUGAGUAACGCGUAUCCAACCUGCCCAUCACUUGGGGAUAACCUUGCGAAAGUAAGACUAAUACCCAAUGACAUCCCACGAAGGCAUCCGAAUGGGAUUAAAGAUUUAUCGGUGAUGGAUGGGGAUGCGUCUGAUUAGCUUGUUGGCGGGGUAACGGCCCACCAAGGCGACGAUCAGUAGGGGUUCUGAGAGGAAGGUCCCCCACAUUGGAACUGAGACACGGUCCAAACUCCUACGGGAGGCAGCAGUGAGGAAUAUUGGUCAAUGGGCGAGAGCCUGAACCAGCCAAGUAGCGUGCAGGAUGACGGCCCUAUGGGUUGUAAACUGCUUUUAUAAGGGAAUAAAGUGAGUCUCGUGAGACUUUUUGCAUGUACCUUAUGAAUAAGGACCGGCUAAUUCCGUGCCAGCAGCCGCGGUAAUACGGAAGGUCCGGGCGUUAUCCGGAUUUAUUGGGUUUAAAGGGAGCGUAGGCCGGAGAUUAAGCGUGUUGUGAAAUGUAGAGGCUCAACCUCUGCACUGCAGCGCGAACUGGUCUUCUUGAGUACGCACAACGUGGGCGGAAUUCGUGGUGUAGCGGUGAAAUGCUUAGAUAUCACGAAGAACUCCGAUUGCGAAGGCAGCUCACGGGAGCGCAACUGGCGCUGAAGCUCGAAAGUGCGGGUAUCGAACAGGAUUAGAUACCCUGGUAGUCCGCACGGUAAACGAUGGAUGCCCGCUGUUGGCCUGAAUAGGUCAGCGGCCAAGCGAAAGCAUUAAGCAUCCCACCUGGGGAGUACGCCGGCAACGGUGCAACUCAAAGGAAUUGACGGAA
rnacentral:rRNA from 1 species